rnacentral:lncRNA from 1 species
AUUCUCCUUAUCUCGAUAGAUGUUUCGAGUUCCGUGGGGGUUGUAAUCCUUGUCGCUGUCGUUCUCCCUACCUGGCACGCCAAAACCUGUUGCGGCCAAUCCCCUCGUCGCCUGGUCGUCGGGAACGAGCGUCUGCAAAAGAAGUCCGCACUGAUCGGAGGUGACUCCUGCGGAGACCCUCCGACGGUCAAGUCAGAGAGGAGACUAGGCAAAUGUAGAAAAGAAUCAAGGAGCUCAACGAGAGAGGGUGCAAGUGAGGG